rnacentral:rRNA from 1 species
GCAUGUCUAAGUACAAGCCUCACUAAGGUGAAACCGCGAAUGGCUCAUUAAAUCACACCUAAUCUACUGGAUAGUUAACAGUUACUUGGAUAACUGCGGUAAUUCUGGAGCUAAUACAUGCACAAAGCCCCGAACUUACGUGAGGGGCGCUUUUAUUAGAUCAAAACCAAACGGCUUUGCUGUUCUCUUGGUGACUCUGAAUAACUUUGGGCUGAUCGCAUAGCCUAGCGCUGGCGACAUAUCCUUCGAAGGUGUGCCCUAUCAACUGUCGACUGUGGCAUAGACGCCCACAGUGGUUUUGACGGGUAACGGGGAAUCAGGGUUCGAUUCCGGAGAGGGAGCCUUAAAAACGGCUACCACAUCUAAGGAAGGCAGCAGGCACGCAAAUUACCCAAUGACCGAAGGUCGAGGUAGUGACGAAAAAUAACGAUACGGGACUCAUCUGAGGCCCCGUAAUCGGAAUGAGUACACUUUAAAACCGUCCCCGAGGAUCUAUUGGAGGGCAAGUCUGGUGCCAGCAGCCGCGGUAAUUCCAGCUCCAAUAGCGUAUAUUAAAGUUGUUGUGGUUAAAAAGCUCGUAGUUGGAUCUCGGCGGUCUGAGGGCGGUUCACUUGCUAGUGCUACUGCCCUAUAGACCGUAGUUUUGCCAGAGGUCUCAGGGUGCUCUUAAUCGAGUGUCUUGUGAUGCUGGCAGGUUUACUUUGAAAAAAUUAGAGUGCUCAAAGCAGGCUUUUACGCCUGAAUAUUCGUGCAUGGAAUAAUAGAAUAGGAAGUCGUUUCUAUUUUGUUGGUUUUCGGAAAUCGACUUAAUGAUUAAUAGGGACAGUCGGGGGCAUUUGUAUUCAAACGACAGAGGUGAAAUUCUUGGACCGUUUGAAGACAAACUACUGCGAAAGCAUUUGCCAAGAAUGUUUUCUUAAUCAAGAACGAAAGUUAGAGGUUCGAAGGCGAUUAGAUACCGCCCUAGUUCUAACCAUAAACGAUGCCAGCUAGCGAUCUGCUGACGUUUUUUU